UCCAUGCAAGCCUMUUCAUUCUUCGGCUCAAGUGCUUGUUUGCCUUGGCCGCCGUCCCUUUUUCUUGUGCUGAAUACCCACAACGGGGGCACAAGGUUGGCUAAAACGUCCCACUUCCGCCUUGUGCUGCGCCCCUCGGGGCCGCGGUGCGGGGUGGACCUCAAAGCAUUCUCCGUGCGCCACGUCCCGCGCAAGUGCCUCCGCACGUGCUCGGGUUGUUGGCUCAUGGMGUCUUGCUCGAUCUCUCGGAUGCGGAACAGUGAGUGGGUACGAGGGCCCCCGGCCUCUAUUURCCCCKAAAACAAGYGUUCGGCGCUUCGUGCGAACGACUGUCGUUUUCGUUUUGACC
rnacentral:misc_RNA from 1 species